AGAGACAGAGGGAGACACAGAAUCCGAAACAGAAUCCAAACAGAAUCCAAAACUUAACGGCUGUUAGGCGUUAAGUUUUGGGGGAGCCAAAAUUUAUACUCAGAUUUUCAACUGAGUGGGGGUCAGUCUCCCUUCCUCCUGAGUUGUGCAAGGGUCAACUGUACUAACAGUCUCUUCUUCCCUGUAGUCCCAGGAAAAAUACACCCAUUUUCAGAUUUCCAGCCAACUCAAUCCUUUCCAUUCGUGUUAAGGUCUUGAGUUCUUUUGUUUAAACAUCGGAGGUAAGACUGCCCAUCUUCUGAUGAAAGUCAACAGUUGGCUGAGUUCAGAGUGAGCUCGUUGGCUCAAUCUGUGAUGAUUUGACUCAGCCAAGGCAGGACCCGCGCUAAGCAUUUGCCUACAGCUGUGCUGAAUAGGGUGAUGCCACGUGCAUUCUACCCACUGAACUUGUAGUUAUCAAAUGUUGGCGGAAGAUGAUCAUUCUGUAGGUCUGGGGUAGAGCCCACGAUUGUGCAUUUUCAAUCAGCACCUCUAGGUAAUUCCGAUGCAGGCGGUAUAAAAUUCCAUUUUAAGGAUGGAAUUCUUUAAAAUUUAAAUUCUUUAAAAUUCCCCCGUCCCCACCCCCGCGGAGAUAGAAACAGAGAGUUCCCAUCAGGUGAGAUUUGGCACCUGGCGGCCAUCAGCAAGGUGUUCUUAACCAAGACACCCCCAGGAAGUCAGGAGGAGGAGUCGGGACGCCGGGAGACGCAGGGAUUCGGGCACACAGCUCCCACCUGACCAGAGUUCCUCUUCGUGGCGAGGUUCUGCAAAUGCUUGCGUUCCUCUAGGAUCUCCUAGAAUCAGGGAACUUAAGAGCCAGGAUGGAUCUCCGAUGUCACCUUGCCCUACCCUCCUGAGUCCAGCAACCAGAUUGGGAGUCCUCACUGGCUGCGCUUUGGCACGUGACUCAGACGCGCGCCUUGUGACUUCGGCGCUGGGAGUUGCUCUGUCAUCUGCUAAUGGGAAGACACUGGUACCCCACGUCCCGGAUGGAUGCGGUAGUCAGCUGCGACUUGCGCCUUUUCACCCAGCGUGCUGUUUCUAAGAUUCAUCUACGCCAUUGCGUCCCACGGUGCCACUGUGCCAAACACUGUUUGAAACCCUUGGUCUGCACGGAUGCCAUCCUCUUCCCUCGCCUGAAAAGGCAAGGAAAUGAACGUGACCGCACAUGAGGCAGGUUUGCGGGCAAACCUCAUUGUUUUUACAAUUUGGAAAGAAAAUGACUAUUAUUAUUUAUGAAAAUAACCCAAGAGUUGCUCUGCUCUUUCUUUUCUCACCAGUGUUGAGCUUUCGUGGUGCCUGGUAUAUUCUUUUGAUUUUUAACAUCCUUGUGUACUUUUCUGUAUUGUUAGAAGUGCUCACAAUUAUGUGAACUUUACAGAUAUAAGACAGCUCUUUAAAACAUCAAGCAUCGUGGGAAAGGUGAGAUUGCUGAUAGAUUUUGUGGAUAAGUAUAGAGGUUUCAGGUGGAAAUAAAUUAGAAAACUUUCCGGGGGGAACUGAAACAUUAAUUUUUGUGUAGUAAGAGCAGAGAUUACUUUGAAGUCAGCCAUGUUUGGUGCUAUUGUCUGGGGGGGGGGGGGGGGCAUGGGCCAGCUGUUAGUUUCCAAACUCAGGAUGAAACCUCUCUUUCACUUCCUAUCUAAAGGCCCUAAGUGGUAUCAUUCUAGCCCACCUCUCUGACUCUUUCAUCUUUCCCUAUCAUGGCUCACUAAACCCAAUUUACACUUCUCCCCCUGUUUCUAGAACAUAUUAAUGUGUGGGUCUGGGAUUAGCCUGAAGCAAAUAAAGCACCAUGUUUAAUUUCUGUCCCUGACACCCACCCCUACCCUUCACCCCUACCCCUGCCCUUACCUUAAUUUCUGUGCCCCAGUAUGUCACUUGCCUCAAGUACAGAAUUUAAGUGUGUGUGCAUAUGGGGGUGGGGGGGAAGGCGGGUUACAGAGUCAGUAGUCAAGAGAAAUAAUAUUGUGAUGCAAUAUUUUUUAAAAAAUUAAAAUUGAGGCAAAAGGAAAAUGUGGAUCCAUGUACAAAUUUUAAUGUAUUUUUAAUACUUAAUUUUUUCCAAAACCUUAAAGCCGUUGAAAAUGUAUUGAAUAAUUGAAAAGUAGGUGUAUUAAAACUCAUAACUUUAAUAUAAUUUUAAACAUAUCACUUAUACUAACAACAGAAUUUAUUAUAAUUUGACUGUUCUGGCUUUAAUGGAAGCAAAAUCACGGUUGCUAUUCUCAACAUCCACUCCUUUAUUUACCUUAUUUUUAAUGGAAAGAAUUGCCGUAUUUGACCAUUUCUCUUUUUCAAGUAACUAUCUUAACUUUAGUGAGGUGGAUUACAAGUUCAUAUGGCCUCUGAGAGGGGAAAGAGGCCUUGCCUGUCUUAGUUCUGAACAAAUUGAGAGGAAGCUGAUGAAGUGAGGCAUGCAUGGUCGAUGGAGGUCAAAUAGCACCUUGAUUCCUGUAGAGCCCAUGUGGAAGGACUUGGCUUGAAAUCUGUUAGUCAAGAAGCCUUAUUGAUUUGGAAUUCCAAAGCUGGGUAGACUAAACCCAGCCAGUCACAGGGAACACGUCAUGAGGGCAGGAUUUUCCCUUCUCCCACCUGAAGCAGGGCAGAGCCACUUCUGGAAGAGCCAAUCAGAAAGCUGCUCCUGUAGGGUAGGCAGCUCGCUCCUGAGAGAAAGGGUACAGAUGAGUUGAACAUGAACGGUUGUUGUUCUGCCUAAAUUUACCACCCAGAUGCCCCUGCACUCUGGGGCAAAGAGAAUUGAGAAUGGAGAGAUGUUGGAAAUGACACCAAAUGAGCUGCUUUUACAGGAAGGAACCUCAGGAAUGGAGAGGAGGGAAUCCCCACUAAAGCAGACAAAGCAUAUUCUACCCCAGGAUAUUUGCAUCUGCUGUCACCUCUGCCUGAACCACCCUUUCUCUGUGUCUUCGCACAGCUGGAUACUCCUCAACAUUUUAGCCAAAGCUCAGGUGUUGCUCCUGAGGGAGGCCUUGUCCUGACCACUCUAUCCAACAUUGCUUACCUGUUCCCAGGUAGACCUUGUGUGUUUAUGGAAUGUGUUUCUGAAGUUAUGUCAUCGGUAGAAGGUCAGUUCCACGAUGGCAGUAACCUCGCCUGUCUGUUGAGCACCUCAACCUGACUCUGGCCCAUGGUAAACAGGUGUCUUAGGGUGGGUUUUCCAGAUGCAGAGCCUGGGAUGCGUUUUCUUGGGCAAAUCCCUCACUGAGGUGGUGUCCGGGAGAGAAGUGAGUCCCGGGGAAGCCAGAACUGCUGGCCACCCAGCCUCAGUUUAAUCCCAUCGGGAGCUCUGCAGCAUGAAUUCCAUCACACAGUUGCCCCACUUAGAAGCCAGCAGACUGGGUUCCCACCCUACUUUCCCAGGGUGAUCAGUCAUUGACAUGAGAGUGGCUCCCAUGAGCAGAGGACAAUUCCCAGAGAAGGGUACCGUUGUGAGCUAUUAGCAGGUAAUCCUAACAGCACCAGUGCAUUUCUUGGGGAAGAGGGUCUAGGGGAGCCAACGGCGGAAUAAUGUUUACAUUAUUAAGUGUGCAACAAAUAUUUGGUCAACGAAGGAAUGAAACAUAUGAAACUUACACUCUCCUCCUGUGCUAAGCAGAGUAACCCAACCGUUGUUUUGCAUUUUGGAUUUUGCGUGACUGAGACGGUAUGAUUUCCUCAAGCUCUUCUAUCAUAUACCUUGGUGAUAUCUUACAUUUUACAAGCAGAACGUGCUGUGCCUCCGAUUCUUCUCUCUUGUUUGUGUUUAUACAAAGUUUACGACUUGCUGACUCAGGUUCCCUCAGUCUGUUAACGCACACUGGGGGUAAGUUAGGGGCUUUGAGAGAAUGUGCUAACUUCUUAAUGAAUCCACAAUGCCUUGUAGGAAAUUUUGGUUCUAUUCCAAUGUGACAAAUGGUAUCCUGGUGGGUAAUAGAGACAUUCUUUGCACAACUCCAAAAUAACAGUGGAAAAGUUAUAAGGAAGGCAGAUAAUCAAUUGGUCUUUUCUCUUUAAUUCCAAUUGACUUAUUUUGGGCUCCUUCCACCUGCUACUUACAUUCAAAUUCUAUUUAAAUAACCGAGUAAUUCUAAAUACAGAGUGUAUCUAUCUGCAUAUGUAUGUGCUAUUUAUAUGUAUGUGUAUGUGUAUAUAUAAAUAUAUGUGUGUAUCUAUAAAACCUCCCACCUUUAGGCAGUAUUAAUGGCAGUUUAGAAACAACAUCUAAAGCAACAGGAUUGUAAAAGGAAUACAAAAAGGAGAAAGUACUAACAUUCACCAUCAUCCAAAGAAAUGGAACCAGGAAUGAGUUUAACACAAAAAAGUAUAUUAUCAAACCCUAUAUACUUGUUUGACAGGACAAAGCUCAAAUUUCUCUAUGGGAAUCUAACAUAAGGCGAACAAAGGCAUCUUUAAGGCAUCUUAUAAGGCUUCUAAUAAAGGGAAAUGACAUCGUUUGUGGCACUAAGAUAAAGGCAAACUAAUUCUUUAUGAAAGGUACUAGCAUUCUUGAGUUGAAGGAGAGGCACGUGUCUCAUGAGAGUCUUCAUGUGAUCUGUACGCAUACUUUUGUUCAUCGAUAUCCCUCUAAUGCAAUAUAUGUGUUCCUGAAAAACCUCGCAGAAUUACUUAAUAAAAAUAAUGGGGCUUUGGGGGCAAAUAACGUUAGACAAACCAAACCACGCAAGUAUAUAAUCACGACAAUGAUAAAAAUAAUAAGAAUUCUAAAAGAAAAUAAAUACAACA